AUACGGAGGGUGCGAGCGUUAAUCGGAAUUACUGGGCGUAAAGCGUACGUAGGCGGUUGGUUAAGUUAGAUGUGAAAGCCCCGGGCUUAACCUGGGAACUGCAUUUAAAACUGACGAACUAGAGUUGAGUAGAGGGGAGUGGAAUUUCAGGUGUAGCGGUGAAAUGCGUAGAGAUCUGAAGGAACACCAGUGGCGAAGGCGGCUCCCUGGACUCGAACUGACGCUGAGGUACGAAAGCGUGGGUAGCAAACGGGAUUAGAAACCCUAGUAGUCC
rnacentral:rRNA from 1 species